UCAAAGGCGUUGAAGAGGAGUAGUAACUCCUAUUCCUGUCUCAGAGAGCUGGCGGUUGCUGAAAGCCAGUACAGGAUAAGGGUGAACUCGCCUUGGAGCCGUUGCGAUGAAGCAAACAGUCUAGUCGUGAUCGUGAGCCUGCGUAAAGGGUUUAACUAAGGGUCCUGAGGAUCGGACCGAAACAGGGUGGUACCGCGUAAGCUACAGGCUUUCGCCCCUGAA
rnacentral:ncRNA from 1 species